rnacentral:rRNA from 17 species
GUUAAGUGACGAAGCGUAUACGGUGGAUGCCUUGGCAGUUAGAGGCGAUGAAGGACGUGUAAGUCUGCGAAAAGCUGUGGUGAGCCGACAAAAUGCAUUUGAGCCACAGAUGUCCGAAUGGGGAAACCCACCUGUUUACAGGUAUCGUUACAUGAAUACAUAGUGUAACGAGGCGAACGAGGGGAACUGAAACAUCUAAG